GGCAGUGUAGCUCAGAGAUAGAGCUCUUGCCUAGUAUGCAUGAGGCUCUGGGUUUGAUCCUCAAAACUGCCA
rnacentral:tRNA from 1 species